UGUUUAAAACACAUUUCUUCUCAAGAAAAGUGCAAAGACAUAAUUCAUCGGGGAGACAUGAAUAUAAAUAAUUAAGCAACCCUUUACUUAAUAUACAUAAGCUCAUGGAAGAAAAACUAUACAUAAGUUUCUAAGGCUACUUAAGUAGUAAUACAUGUUUUAUUCAAAUUCAUGAUACUUCGUAUGCUGUAUACAUUUUUUUCCAAUUAUGUACAGAUUGCAGCUGCUCCACCGUAUACUUCACCGUGGUCAAAAAUCACCAAGAAAAUCAAUCAAUGGAAGGAAUUAAUCUGAUCUCCCAAAGGAACAGUCAGGCCUAAAAAGGUUUAAAAAAAAUAAACAUGACGUACGCAGCUACCGUCCGAGCGACACAUGGACGGUCCGGAUUGCGCCACGC
rnacentral:lncRNA from 1 species